UACGAAGGGGGCUAGCGUUGUUCGGAAUUACUGGGCGUAAAGCGCGUGUAGGCUGCUUCGCAAGUCGGAUGUGAAAGCCCUGGGCUCAACCCAGGAAGUGCAUUCGAAACUGCAGAGCUGGAGUCCUGGAGAGGAAGGCGGAAUUCUCGGUGUAGAGGUGAAAUUCGUAGAUAUCGAGAGGAACACCGGUGGCGAAGGCGGCCUUCUGGACAGUGACUGACGCUGAGACGCGAAAGCGUGGGGAGCAAAGCAGGAUUAGAACCUCCGAGUCAG
rnacentral:rRNA from 1 species